UACAGAAGUGAUCAGAUAGUGCUACGUCCUUAAUAACAAUGGAUGAAAUGUUUAGACCUCUACUGAUGAGUAAAUCUAGAGUAUGUCCUCGACUGUGUGUGGGUCCAUGCACAUGCUGAAUCAGGUCAAAAUACAAAAGCAUUAUUCA